rnacentral:rRNA from 1 species
UAGGGAAUCUUCCACAAUGGGCGAAAGCCUGAUGGAGCAACGCCGCGUGUGUGAUGAAGGGUUUCGGCUCGUAAACACUGUUGUAAGAGAAGAAUGACAUUGAGAGCAACUGUUCAAUGUGUGACGGUAUCUUACCAGAAAGGAACGGCUAAAUACGUGCCAG